UUGUUAUUUUGUUUUGUUUGAGGAUUAAGUAUAAGCAAAAGUUUAAGCUUGAGGAAGUUGAUAAGUUGGGAACUAAUGUCUAUUACUUGAAUUGUAGCCUUUCUAUAAGUAAAGGUCUAACAGCAUAACUAACUUAUUUUGUUGGUCUCAGGUCUAUGAACUAAAAAGGAAACAAAGGAAUAAAUGUAUCAAAAAAUUUGAAGGAAGACCAAGUUUAGAGCAAAAAGCUGAAAAAUCAGAGAAUUGAAAAAUAUGCAAAAGGGCAAAACUUGGAGACGAUUUCUGUUCAUCUCCACGAUUGGAAGGAAUCACACAGGAACAACAUGCUGAUCCAGUCCACGACGGUUGAUGAAGACAUAAAGUUCGGAGCCUAUGACAAAAUGAACAAACGUGGAGAUGAUUGCCAAACGCAAUUGGUCUUAAAUCCUCAGAGAAAAAUCACAUAUUAAUUCCUCAUAGGAAGGUACAUAAACCAGCCAGGUACAAAUAAAAGUAAGUUCAGCAUUCGUUUCUCAAAAAAAAUAAAAAAAAGUUUAGCAUCUGCAAAAAUCAUGGACUUGGC
rnacentral:lncRNA from 1 species